CGGCGGACGGGUGAGUAACGCGUGGGUAACCUGCCUUACACUGGGGGAUAACAGUUAGAGAUGACUGCUAAUACCGCAUAAGCGCACAGGGCUGCAUGGCCUGGUGUGAAAAACUCCGGUGGUGUAAGAUGGACCCGCGUCUGAUUAGGUAGUUGGUGGGGUAACGGCCCACCAAGCCGACGAUCAGUAGCCGACCUGAGAGGGUGACCGGCCACAUUGGGACUGAGACACGGCCCAA
rnacentral:rRNA from 1 species